GCUUGUUUGGCUCAAUGGAUAGAGUGUCAGCCUGCAGAAUGAAGGGUCCUGGGUUUGAUUCCGGUCAAGGGCA